GGCCUUCAGACUGUUGAGUCUUGAGGGGAGUAGUCAAGCUCUUGUCUAACUGCCCUGAGUGCAGCUGAUCCUCAACUGCUCUGAGAGCAGAAGGUCCUUAACUGUUUAACUGGUCUGAGUUCAGUGGGUCCAGCUACUCUGUAUGUGGCAGGUCCUCUAGGAUGUAUCAGGAUAUGGAGUCUUCAGGGGAGCAGACCAACUAGGAGCCCCAACAGGAAGGACCUGGUGGAAGCAGAUGUAUUUAUUUUCAUUGUAUAUUAACUUACGUUAGACUGGUAGGCUUGUAGACCUGAUUGAUUAACUGGGCUACAAUGAGAUGCUAUCAUUUUAUAUUUGCCCCUGUCUCCAAGAAGAUGUCCUUGUUCUUGCCCCACCUGACCUCUAAAUAUACCCAGUGGGACUAGGUGUUUAAAGACAGUCUCUACAAGGAGCAUAACCUGAAGCUGGUUGUCUCACUAUUUUCCAUAGACUACAGAGUUCACUGUUCUUGAAGACCAAAGAAGACUGUGUUUCCACUGCCUUCAUUCAUUCUGGGUUUCUUAGUGUAUCUUGGGACCUGCCAUUGACUGAAUCAGAACCACCUUAGCCUUCUUCCUUGGGUCACAAACAAGAUACACUUAGUUUUACCUGUGCUUUCAGAACUCUGUUUAAAAGUCCUCCCUUCAAUCCUUCAUCCAGCUGCUAGCCUAUCAUCCAUCUCACCACCUGGACUAAUCUGAAAUGUCUUUCUGACUGAUUCCAGAGUUCCAAGCACAAAUCAAAUUCUGGACCAAUGAUGUUUGAACAUUAAAAUUCAGUGUUUUCUCCAAGACUGAAAACUAAACAUGAUUCAGAUGGCCCAAAACAUGACUGCAAUAGCAGCCAAAUGACUAUAUCUCCACUUAACAAAAACAAGACACAUAUCCAGAACUUUAAAUAACAAAAAUAUUUUAACCACAAAUAUGCCAAGAACCCUUCACAAAACCAAAAUUGUGCUUUCCCCCAGUCUUGAACAGUUUAAAUAGACCUUACGUGUUUUCUACAGUUGGACUUUAAUGACCCCAAGUGGAGUCAAUUUCCUACAGGAGUAGACUGCACUUUGAGCUUGCUUUACAACCCAAUCCAGCUGAAACAAAGGAUGGGCCUAUGGGCUCUCCCUAUAUAAACGCAGUGCUGACUAUUAAACUUUGAGCCUUGAUCAGAAA